GCUUACGGCCAUACUAUCCUGAGCACACCCAGUUGUGUCUGAAUUUGGAAGUUAAGCAGGGUUGGGCCUUGAUAGUACUUCAAUGGGAAACUGCCUUGCAAUACAGAGUGCUGUAAGCU
rnacentral:rRNA from 1 species